rnacentral:rRNA from 1 species
UAGGGAAUCUUCCGCAAUGGACGAAAGUCUGACGGAGCAACGCCGCGUGAGCGAAGAAGGCCUUCGGGUCGUAAAGCUCUGUUGUAAGGGAAGAACAAGUGCCAUUUAACUGAUGGCACCUUGACGGUACCUUGCGAGAAAGCCACGGCUAACUACGUGCCAGCAGCCGCGGUAAUACGUAGGUGGCAAGCGUUGUCCGGAUUUAUUGGGCGUAAAGCGCGCGCAGGCGGUCCUUUAAGUCUGAUGUGAAAGCCCACGGCUCAACCGUGGAGGGUCAUUGGAAACUGGGGGACUUGAGUGCAGAAGAGGAAAGCGGAAUUCCACGUGUAGCGGUGAAAUGCGUAGAGAUGUGGAGGAACACCAGUGGCGAAGGCGGCUUUCUGGUCUGUAACUGACGCGGAGGCGCGAAAGCGUGGGGAGCAAACAGG